rnacentral:lncRNA from 1 species
AGAUCCUCAAAGGCUUCAAGGGGUAUGGGUCAGCGAUCGGUUCCUCACUAUCUUCCUCAUCUGGAGAAGAGCAUGGAAAAGGAUGAGUUUUAUAUACUCAGUAAGGAAAAUAGUAUUUAGAUAACAUCAUAAGGUUUUAAAAGUGAUCAAUUAUGUCAUCAAUACUUACCAUCAAGAGUCAUGUCAGGGUCUUUUCUUAAAUUAUAAAAAUAAUUUAUUUAUUAAAGAAAACAUCAAAUCCAUCAUGCCAUAGUUAUAUUAAUCAAAUCAAGAAGUCGUUCCAACUUUCAUCUACUGAAGGCAGUACAGAUUUUCGGCUAUCCAUGUGGAACGACCAGUUCAUUUAUAAUAGCAAUUUGCGGCUUGUCGAACCAACAAUACAUUUAUAGCUUGUCAAACCAUGAAACAAUCUAUGAACACGGUCGUGCCAACCACAGUGAUCCUACAUGUUAACUAUGGCCACAAUUGUACAUCACCAACAGUGACCCCUAAAAUCACAUCAUGUCACCGCUCUCGUCAAAGGGUACACUGUCAUCCACAGGGAGCGGUCCAUUCACACCUUUUCAUACCAGAUAGGGGAGAAACAGAAACUCCUCAACGAUAAAAAACCUAAUAAAACACUAUAUGAAUUAUGCAUAUCAAUACUGAUAUAUGUUUCUCAUGUCUAUAUACCAUUUCAUGAUUAAUCACUUUUCCACCGUUAAUUGCAUCACAUAUCAAUAUCAAUUUCAAGAACUAAAUCAUUUAAAUCACAUGCAAUUUAACAAAUUCAUAGAUGAUCAUGAAACAUGCAUUAUCACAUAAAAUAUACUUCGUUUAGACUUAAAAUUUAAUCAUGCAAUCAUAAAUUCAAACUUCAAUAGUUUUAUUCUAGAAAUUAUCGUUAGGAUAUUUAAAAAUAAAUACUAAAUCCUUUAUCAAAACCUUAAAUUUUUCUACAUCUUUUCUUCUUCUUCUCCUCUCCCUCUCUCUAGAUCACUCCCUUUCUCUCUAAGCUCUAGAAGGAUGGAAGAAUGAAAUGGAAAUAAUGAGGAAAAUGUGAAGGAAGGGUCCCUAUUUAUAGAAAAUGGGGACCGUUAGAUUUGCACCAAAUGAAAAAAUCUGGUGAGGAGAGAGAAAGUCAAUGGGAAAAAAAGUGAUGUGACAACUAACAGAUGUGAUCGACGGACGGAUGACAAGAUGUGAUGACAAUGCAAAAAAUAGAGACACGCCACCAAAUCGACGGCAACACAUCGCCAAAGCGACGAUAGCACACCGCCUAAACUGAUGGCGGAUUGCUGCCCAACCGGCAGCACACACUGCCCAAGCAAGCACACGAUGCCCAAGGGGGCGGCGCUAAUUGCCUGAGGUCAUUGCACGCUACCCUAAGCCAGCCUAGCCGGCUGCGUGCGGGACCUACAACACGUAGGGCGUUGCGCGUAAGCCUACUGUUCGGACGGCGCACGCACAGAGCGCAUGGAGCUGCGACCGUCUGUGCGCAAUGGUACAUGCACACAGACUAGGCUUUAUGCGACGUGUGGUGCUUGCACUGGUGGGAUCUUUCCCACGGCCACUCCCACUAGAUUUUUCCACUUUUUUUCUAUUUUUUUCUUGAAAUUUAUUUUAAUAACAAAUAAAAUAUAAUUUUUCUAUGAUAAAAUAAAAAAAUAAAUUUUAAUAAUUAUUUAAUUAAAUAAAAUAUGAAAUACGGUAUUUAUCCAAAAAUUAAAAUUACAAAAUAUUUUAAGGAGUUUAAGGGGACUUAGGGCCCAAAUAAAUACGGGUUCACAUUACAAAUUAAGUGCAAAGGUUUUCAAGGUGUUUCAUGAGGUACUCUGCCUUUGACUCCAUAAAGGUUUUCUAGUCACACUACUAGGCGGUUACUUUUCUUUUGAAUGUAAGAAUGCAACAACAUUCCAAUUGCCUUAUGGUGUGCAAUUGAGAUAUGUUUUGGAUUUUUAAUUUUGUGAUUUUUUUAAUAUGCUUAACAAAACAACUUGAGUUUGACAGAUAGUUAUGAAUUUAAGUGAGAUGCAAUAUGAAUUAAUAAUUCAAAAUAAAUUUGAAUCUUAAUUAAUUCAUAAAAUGCUAGAGUAAUUAAGAUAAAUAGGUUUACUAGGAGCCUAAGCUCUGAUAUCACCUGACGCGAGAGGGUAUGGGAAGGAUUGUUUUGACUCUGGGAACCUCAACUCAAAUGUAUGCAAUGUCGAAACUUAAUCACCUAAUUAAACCUCUCCCUCUAAUUGAAUAUACAAUUCCUAAAGGGAGUGCAAAAACAAAAACUAAGGAAUAAAAACAAGGAAAAGAAAGACACCAUAGACUUACCCAAUAAAUCGAUCCCAACUCCUCAGCUCAAUCAAAACUUUGGAAAGCUCUUUUUACUUCGAAAAACUUGAAGAGAAAAAAUUAGCACAAAGCUAAUUAAAGAAAAAUUCAAAGCUUUAAUUUAAUAAUUCUCAAAUUGUUGUUUUUACAAUGCUUGAGAUGAUGCCUUUAUAUCGGCUUUUAAUUUCUACUUCUAGUUGAAAUGGGAUUUAGGAUUCCUAUCCAAACUCUAAGAAUUAAAUUAACUAGGAAACAAUUACUUAAAUAAAUAAAUAAUUAAAUUCUUAUCCUUAUCCUAAAAUAAUAAUUAAUUAAUCAUGUAGAUAAAGUUUAACAUUAAAAUAUUAAUAAACUAAUAAACUCCUCCUCUAAAAUCUUCAAGGAUCUUUAUUUUUUUUGUUCUUCAAUUUUGAGUAGAAUUCCUCCUAUAAUUUUGCAUAUUUUGUAUAUGGAAUAAUUGUAGAAAUGUCCUUGUAGAAUUAAAAAAAGUGAGAAAAAAGAGUUCAAAAAGGACUAGAAACAAAGAGCCACAAGAAUGGGCUGUUGGAUGCGCGGGUCAGACCACAGGUUACGUAGGUGGGCCAAGUGGGCCGUGUGGGCUUACAGGGCAAGCUUGGUCUGCAGGAUGCCUUGCAUACGCAUGCCCAUGGGUUGUGCGUUCGGUCAUCCUCUUAUGUGCUAGUGCGUGAGCUAUGGCGCAACCUUGUGUUAUUGCUCACACAUCCUUCGUGUAGGACCGUGCGGGCUGGGUGCUCGCACAUGCGGGGGCCAUGUGUCACACAUGGGGAGGCCUACACACGUGUAGGCUAUGAGUAUCCAUACCCACACCACCUGUUGGGCUUCUCUUUGGAUCAAGAUAUAUGGACUGAGUCUUUGUUUGGCUGUAAGACCUAAUAACUUCCUAUUUUUCCAUCUUUUCUAAUUCUGCCUGCUCUUAGACAGGGAUACAAGUGUAAUUAAUUCAUAUUUGCUAUCCUGAGUUUGCAUCUGGGUGGUGAUAACAUGGUCACUAUAUUUUCAGGAACACUUUUGAACAUGUCCAUGAAGCUCAUUAUUGUUUAGCCUUUUAUAUCCUUUAAUGGUCCCAUAAACCUCCUAUUUAUUACUACUCUUUUCCUCGGUUCUUAUCACAUCGCUAGCACUGACACCGGAUUUGUCGAACAUCCUUGAUGUGUUUCACAUGUCAAUGUCACACUAGUAUCAUCCUAAUUCGUCCCGCGUAUUGCAGCAUGAACGCCUUCCACUUGAGAAAAACUUGUUCUAUAAAGAGUUGCCUAUAAGCAUAUUGAAUUGCAAAGAAAAGUGGUGAGAACAAAAGUAAUUCCCCUAGUUAAAAUUUUAUAGCAACACCACUCACAGAGAGCAGCAUGGGAACACAACGACUAGAUGCGAGUUAAAUAUCUUUAUUUUUUUGAAAUUUGUAACAAUUUGGGGAACAAAUUUUAAAGGAGGGGAGUAAUUGUAAUAGCCCACAUAAUUUUUUUUAAAAUUUAAUGUAUGUAUUAUAAGCACCAAAAAUAAUUUUAUGAGCAUGGUGUACACAAAAAAUAAAGACAUAAGCCCUAAGAAAUUAAAAAAUAAAGAAAGAUAUAAAUAAAAUGGCAAUAAUAAUAAUAAGCAGUAAUAAAAUUUGGACUAAAAUAAAAAGAAAAUGGAAAAGGGAAAGUAUUAAAAAAAUAGAAUUCGGGCCAAACCGAAAGAAAAAUAGAAAGGAAGGGAAAAUCUAAAAAUAGAAAAAAUGGGACACCUCAGCAUGUGAGGUGUCUAGGAACAAACCUAGCUUAGGCAUUUGACCAGCCAUGCAAGGUGGCAAAGACGAAAUGGAAAUGAAUGGUUGCGAUCAACCACGAAAGAUCAUAAGGGGAUCGAAUGACCCAAAAACGCUCAAUCUCAAACAAAAAUGUGGAGAAAUAAAUGAUCACGAUUGCAGAAAAGAAAAUUUGGAUGGUCAGCAUUUAAAGAUGUGUGUAAAAGGAUACAUUUACACUUAAUGAGAUGCAUCCAAUAACCCACGUUCCCUGUAUGUGAUUGGACUGCUUAAUCACGUCUAGGAUCUCGUAUAUAAAUCCUUCCUCUUCAUUUUUGUUAAGUAGAAAACAUCCAAGUCAAAAAGAGAAGUAGCAUGCAAUGAGAGAGACUCGAAAGACUUUGCAAACAGAGGAAGAAAAAGUGAGGUGAAGAGAUGGGGAAUCCUAAAACCAGGGGGGGCAAUGUAGUCAAAGGGAAGAAGGGAGACAAGGUCUAAACCGAGGAGUGCCUUUGAGUUGCCAUAACAACCUGUGACCAAAGAGUCGUACACACAAGUAAAUCCCUACCCUUCCCCCACCGACCUCAUUCAUUCUUUUACACCUAUUGACAUAUGUAUGUGCAAUGUUCUCAUGAGAGAGAGAGAGAGAGAAUAACUCGUAAACAACUAUGAAACAGAAGAAAUAGAGCUAAUACUAAAACACAAACGAUAUAGGUAGGCAUACUUCAAUCGAGAUUUUGAGCAGAUAUUUCAAGAAAUUCCUAAGUAGUUUAACGAAAUAAAACGCAUGGUACAAUAAAGGGAAUAUGGAAGAGCAUGUAGGAAAUGAGAAAUAGAAAAGAAUUGAAAUGAAUCAAUCAGGAACAUUUUUAGAAAAGUCAGGUCCCAAUAGUAACAAAAAAUGCAGAGUUUCGAUACACGUCAAAAGACCUAUUUGUGGGAAGGAUUUUGGUGAUCAUUAAUCACCAGCAAGUGACGAAAUCUAACUAUAACUAAGGUAACAAUAUAGGAGUGUUGGUGAUCAUUAAUCACCAACAAGUGAGUUCCAUAUGCGCAGGACAGCUUGCGCGCACGUAAACCUCAUCUUGUACAAGCAUCAGCAUGGUAGACUUGGACUGCGUGCAGUGCCUCUAGCCACGUGUUGCUAUCACCACAACCUCGCGUCACUACCUAUGCUGCCUUGGGAGCUGUGCCUCUUCCUUGGCCAGCUGACACUGAUGAUGUCAUCAUUUUCUCUCUCAUCUCAGAUUCGCAAUACUUGUUGCAAAUCCAACAGUUCUAUUUCUUUAUAAAUAAAGACCUCCUCUACCACUCUUCCUCACCCAUUUUCACCCCCAAAGACAAAAAUUCUAGAGAUAGAAAGUUAGAGAGAGAAAUAAGGAAAAAGAGAAAAAAAAAGGACUAGCUUACAAAGACUCAUCAGUAUUUGGUAAGGAAUUCAAUAUUUCCUUGCACAUUUUAAGAGCCAUUUUUUUUAGAAAAAUCUUGAAAUGAAUGUUCAUUUUAUCGCAUAAUAGUGACAUGAUUUUGAGGGUGUGAGGAGUUAUUAAUUAAUAAUGUUAUUUUAAUUAUACAUGCAUCGUGUAAAGGUGUAGUUUGUUAUUUCAUGAAUGAAGUUGAACUGCAAUUGAUACGAGAAGAGAUUAUAUGAAAUUGUUGACAUGACAUGAAAAAUAUGAAUGGAUACAUGAAAUAUGAAUUAAUCUGUUAGACUAUUUUAUCGACUUAUAUUGUCCCCACCCUGUCUGAAAAGAUGUGAGAUGACCACUCCCUAUGGAUGAUGGCGGGAAAGUGUGUAGGAGAUCUUAGGACCAUUGCACCGAAGUACGAUCAUGUUCAUAGUCUUUAGGACUACAAUGGUUGGCAUGACCAUGGUCAUAGAUAGUGCUAUAGUGUGACAAAUCAGUCAUGGUGUAGCAAGCUAUCAGUUACCAAUAGUGUCACCACAGUGGUAGUUUGGAUUUCAUACUAGUGAGUAGAUAAAAAGUCGUAACGGACUUCGCGCGAAGAAUACUAAAAGACUUAAUACCAGUAAUUAUUUUGAUUUGUUUGAUUUUCUAUCUUGAUGAGUUAUCUGUAUUAUUAUAUUGUUUUGAUGAUCAUAAUAUUUUUAAUUAAAUAUUUUCUUACAUUAGUCCUACUCUUACGGAUCGUUGUAAAUGGUAAGCAGCAAAAAGUUAUUUUCUUAAACGCCUUUAACAUUUCUUAGUUAUGCCAAUUUAAUAUUGUAUGCCUUAUUGAGUUUCAUAUAACUCACCCCUUCUAUGCUGGCCCGUCCUCCCCAGACGACGUUGAAGAGGAUGUUUAUGAUGAGUUGUCCGUUGAGUUACCCCUUGAAGCUUACCUGGAUCCCGUGGAUCUAUGAUCAUUGACGAGUGCGUGUCUUGUUCCGUACUCUGAUGAGUUCAUUUACAUAGUGAAAGAAGUGACCUUCUUUUAUAUUUUGUAUUUUGUAUUUUGUAUUUUGUAUUUUAUAUUUUGUAUUUUGUUACCACUUCUGCCUUCAAUUGUAUAUAUAAUUGGGAACUCAUAUUUUAUAAGGAAUUUUGUAUUUUAAAAAUUUUUGCCGCAUAUAUUUUAUUUAAUACAAUCAUAUUCUGUGUUGAUAUCUGGCAUUCAUAUGUUAUAAUCUGUAUUGGGGAUGUCACAAGUAGUAUCAAAGCAGAAUCUAUGGAAAAAUUGCUUACAUUAAGGCCAAUCUAGAGUUAGGAAAAAUCUUAGCGUAUAGGAAACUUCUUUCUAGAAAACUUAUUUAGAAACUUCCUUGAAAUCCCUACUUAUUGUCUCCCGUUUAAUUUUGAAGGAAAUGAUAUGGGGGAGACCAUUAGUAGAAAGAACCGAGGCCCAAGACAAACUGACUAAGAUCGAAUUUAACGAGUUGUUGCGAGCCAUUCAAGGCUUGACAGCAGCUGCUGUGCAUAGUCAGACCAAUAAUUGUCAGCCUCCAGCACCUCCUGAGUGUCAUCCCAUUGACCAUCCUAUCUCCCAACACAUCACAAAGUUCAAAAGGUUGAACCAUCUUCACUUCAACAACGGUCCCAAUCCCAUGGUUGUUACAGCCUAGACCCAGGAAAUUUAGAAGCUCUUCAUAGUAAUGGAUGUGACAGAAGAGCAUUAAGGUUUCUUUGGCUAUUUUCAUGUUUACUGGAGAAGCGGCUCACUAGUGGUGAGUGAAGAAGGAUUUACUGCUGACUCCCACCACCUGGGAAAUAUUUAUGGAGGACGUCUAUGAAAACUUCUUCCCAGCUUAUGUACGGGAUAAAAAGAAAGAGGAGUUUAUAGAACUCCAACAAGAAAAUCUGAUGGUUAGCCAGUAUGCAGCUAAGUUUAUCUAGUUGUCAAGGUUUCCUCCACUGUUGGUAUCCACUGAAGCUUGGAAGGCCCGAAAGUUCUUGAAAGGUCUUCACCCAGAUAUUUUUGAUCGAGUUGCCAUGUCCAAGCCCAGUUCCUAUGGUGAGGUACUAGAGAAUGCCCAGUUUUUCGAAGACCUUAUCUCAACCCGCAACCAGCACAUCACCUAGUUCCGCAGUCAGCAGCAACAGUAACAAAAGAAAAAAUUUCCUGAAUUUGGUGCUGAUAUCUCAUACAAGAGACCAUGUGUUGUCCCAGCCCCUAGUGCUUUAGCCCGCCUACCAGAGACCCUAUUCAGAAUUCUCCCCCUUACCGAUAUUGUGGCUGCUACUAUGGUGACCAUCCUACCGACGCCUGAACCACUCUUAUUAUAAGUACGGGAGUACACAACAUUUGGUAAAGGAUUGCCCACAGAGGCCCAAGGAUCUCGUCAGACCUAUUGCCUAGGGACGUGUUUACCACCUGGAUGAGCCCGAUGUUCCCACCGCACCCGUUAUCAUUUAGGGUAUGCUUUCUGUUCAUAAUACUACUACACGUGCUUUGAUUGAUAUAGGUGUUUUUCACUCCUUUCUUAUCUUGUAAUUUUGUUUGUAAAUUAUACCUUAGGCUGGAACCUCUAGGAAAGAUUUUAGUUGUAGAGACACCCUCUAGGGGACUAUUAGAAACCUUUUAUGUAUAUAAAAAUUGUAAAGUAAAUGCCUCAGGAAAGAACUCACUACAGAUCUGAUACUAUUAGACUUUUCAGGGUUUGAUAUAAUCCUAGGUAUCGACUAGUUAAAAAAAUAUAAAGUAAUUAUUGAUUCCGAGACAAAAAUUGUAAAACUACAUUCACCUAGGCAGCAAAUUUGUCUUGUUUUAUAUAAAUUAUGUAAAAAUAAAUAAAGAGUAUUUUCUUUCAAAAACUUUUCGUUGCUUUGCUCACCUUGUGUUAGACAGGAACAUGGAUUACGACCCAACAAUUUCUUCAGUACCUGUUAUAUGUAAUUUUCUGGAUAUAUUUCCAGAAGAGCUACCAGAUCUACCUCCCGAAUGGGAGAUAGAGUUUUUGAUUAACCUGAUUCCAGGUACCCAGCCAAUUAUGAAACCCCCUUAUCACAUUAGCCAUGUAGAACUUACAGAAUUGGAACAUUAGCUUUCUAGACUACAGGGACUGAGGUUCAUCUGCUGUAGUCAUUUCUAUUGGGGUGCGACUAUCUUAUUCACCAAGAAGAAGGACAGAUCCCUCCGUAUGUGCAUUGACUUCCGUGAAUUUAAUCAAGUGACCAAAAAGAGUAAGUACCCUCUACCCUACGUAGAUGAUUUAUUUAAUCAGUUGCAGAAUGCUUCUAUGUUUUUGAAGAUUGAUCUCUGAUCUAACUACCAUCAAUUGGAGUGAAGGAAGAGAACAUUUCUAAGACGGCCUUUCGCUACAAGUAUGGCUAAUUUGAGUUUAAAGUUAUGCCCUUUGAACUUACCAAUGCACCCACAGCCUUUAUGGACUUAAUGAAUAAAGUUUUUUUCCAUGCACUGGAUCAUUAUGUCAUCAUCUUCAUCAAUGACAUCCUAGUGUACUCAAAGAGCCCGGAAGAGCAUGUUGAUCACCUGACCCGUAUCAUGAUCACCCUUCGUGAACACCAUAUCUACAUCAAGUUUAAUAAGUGUUCUUUUUAGUUAAACCAAGUAUCUUUUCUUGGCCAUGAGAUUUUCAGUGCUGGAGUUUUCGUCAAUCCCUCUAAAGUCGAGGCACUUGUGACUUGGAACCAGCAGACCAAUGUCACCGAGAUUCGUAGUUUCUUGGGUCUAGCCAACUAUUAUUGGUGUUUUAUCGAAGGCUUUUUUAAAAUUUUAACCCCUUUGACUCGUCUCACCAAGAAUGGAGUAGUCUUCCAUUGUGAUGAGAAAUGUGAAGAAUCUUUUAUGGAAUUUAAGCUUCCACUCUACACUGCUCUAGUGUUGAUCCUCCUCGACAAUACAGGGAGGUUUUAGGUAUUCUGUGAUACCUCUCAUGUUGGUUUAGAUUGUGUUCUUAUGCAGCAUGGACGGGUAGUCGCAUAUGGUUCCAGACAACUCAAAAUCCACAAGUACAACUACCCCACUCAUGAUCUUGAGUUAAUGGCCAUUGUGCAUGCUUUGAAGAUUUGACGUCAUUACCUCUAUGGCCAAACCUUCGAGAUCUACACCAACCAUAAGAGCCUAAAGUAUCUGCUCUUGGAAAGAGAAUUAAACAUGAGGCAAAUGCACUGAAUUGAUUUGUUGAAAGAUUAUGACUGCAAGAUUCUUUAUCACCUUGGUAAAGGUCAUGUAGUCAUUGAUGCUUGAGUUGGAAGGAAACCAGCCAUGUUAACCUAGAUGAUGAUAUCCGUUAGAAGUUAAUAGGCUUAAUGCAAUCUCUCCAUCUAAAUUACUAUGGUAAUCUUGAGUAUGCCAUAAGUUGCCAAUAAUAUCACCACAAUGGUAGUUGGGAGUCUAUAUUAACUAAUAGAUAAAAAGUCAUAAAGGACUUCACGCGAAGUAUGGUAAAAGGCUUAAUAACAGUGAUUAUUCUGAUUUAUUUGAUUUUCUAUCUUAGUGAGUUAUCUGUAUUAUUAUGUUGUUUUGAUGAUCAUGAUAUUUUUAAUUAAAUAUUUUUUUACAUCGAUCGUACUCAUAUUAUUAUGUUGUUUUGAUGAUCAUGAUAUUUUUAAUUAAAUAUUUUCUUACAUUGAUCGUACUCAUAUAAUCGUUGUAAAUGGUAAGCAGCAAAAGGGUAUUUUCUUAAACACCUUUAAGAUUUCUUAGUUAUGUCAAUUUAAUAAUGUAUGUCUUAUUGAGUUUCACAUAACUCACCCCUUCUAUGCUAACCCAGCCCCCCCCCCCCCCCCCCUAGAUAAUCUUGAAGAGAAUGUUUGCGAUGAGUUGUUUGCCGACUUACCCCUUGAAGCUUGCCUGGAUCCUAUGGAUCCAUGAUCGUUGACGAGUGCAUAUCUUGUUCCACACUCUGAUGAGUUCGUUUAUAUGGUAAAAGAAGUGGCCUUCUUUUAUAUUUUAUAUUUUGUAUUUUGUUGCCACUUCUGGCCUCAGUUGUAUAUGUAAUUGGGAACUCAUAUAUUUUGUAAGGGAUUUCGUAUAGUAAAAAUUCUUCCUGCGUAUAUUCUAUUUAAUGCACUCGUAUUUUGUAUUGGUAUCUGGCACCCUUAUAUUGUAAUCAAUAUUGGGGAUGUCAUGGGUCAUUUAAUCAUUCGGAAAACCCUUGUCUUUAUUAAGAAAUUCGGUGAAACAAUUAUACUAAGAACACCAUUACCGAUGUGAAUAAUCAACCCAUUCCUAGGCCAUUAUCAUUUUACCAUCUAUACUAUGACCACGGUCGUAUUUUGCCACUGUGGCCCUACAUGUACUUAACACAUAUCCACUCUCCCCAAAAAGAAUGCCAAUCGUCACAGAGAGUGGUUCACCAACACUUUUUUGGAGGGGGAGAAACAGAGACCCCUAAGAGAUCACAGUCGAACAGACAUUUUUUUUACUUGUUUACUUUAUACUCACGACAAUUUCAUAUCCUAUUCAUAUGCAUACUACAUGUUAAAUGCAACCAUUUCUGAACCCUCCGGGAUUCUAUAACUUAUCUAGAUCGAAGGCCCUUUUUUCAUAUCUCUAUCUCAAAGGCUCAUUUCUCUUGUCCGACAUGAAGGCUCGUUUACCUAGUCUUGACCUUCAGGUCAUCCCCUUGGAGUUUAGACUCAUUAGGAUAACCAUCUUCGCCAUUACCAAGGUAAAGUGAAGGGCCAAGAUCUGUAUGUAAAUUUCAAAUCAUCAUAUCUUUAUGCAUCAUGUGAAAUGUGUUAUGGAUUAAACAAUGUCAAACAUCAAGUGAACUCAUGCACCAAUCAUGUUCAUUAAUGCCAUAUACAUAAAUAAGCAGCUAUUCUAGUAGGAAUUUAUGCAUCAUAAUCGCAUGGUAUAAUGAUCAUACAUUAUGCUGCAAAUAAUCAUAAUAUAUCGAGUUUCAUUUUCGGAACUCGGUGGGGCUCAUUGACAUUUUGGGUCAUAGGCCUAUAUGCUCAGGUUUGACCAUUCGAGUUGUUCCUUGAAGGUGGAGCUCCUUAUAAUAACCUUCUUUGUCAUUACCAAGGGUAAGAUAAAGGGUUAAGCCUAAAUGUAUCCUCAAUUGCCAUCUUAUCAACAAUAAAAUAUCAUGCAUCUAAAUAAAUCACCGAACAAUCAUGAAUUAAAAUAAACUACCAAAGCAAGCAUGAAAGUCCAUUUCCCAAGCCGUCAUUUAAAAUUUUUUUAUCGUGACUAAUUAUCAAAAUAACGCACCAAACAAGCAUAAAAGCCCAUCUCAAUAAAUACCCGAUUUCAUCAAAUUAAUUAACUAAAAAGAGCACUUAAAAAUGUAGAUAAAAAUACUAAAGAAUCUCUUACCAUAACCGAAGCCAACUAAGUCUCUAGGGAUGGAAGAAGGGACCUUUAGAGACCCCUGAAGAGCUUGUAAGUUCCCAACUUUUUCAUCUUCUUCUAGCUUCUUUUCCUCUUCAAAUACUCUCUUUCUCUUUCAAAGUAUUUCUCUCAAAAAAGCAGAGGAUGGAAGGGAAAAAUGAAGUGCUAAGAAGAGUUAAAAAUGGAAGGGAAAAGGGAGUGUGAAAGGAUGUGGGAAAC